CCAAUAGCGUAUAUUAAAGUUGUUGCAGUUAAAAAGCUCGUAGUUGAAUUUCGGGGUUAAUAAGUUGGUCAUGCUUAUGGUAUGUACUGGCUUUAUUGACUCCUACCUCUUGACGAACUGUGAUGCCAUUAAUUUGGUGUUGCAAGGAAUCAGGACUGUUACCUUGAAAAAAUUAGAGUGUUUAAAGCAGGCUUACGCUUGAAUACAUUAGCAUGGAAUA
rnacentral:rRNA from 1 species